rnacentral:rRNA from 1 species
UGAGGAAUAUUGGUCAAUGCCCGCAAGGGUGACCCAGCAACGCCGCGUGGAGGAUGAAUGUCGUAAGAUUGUAAACUCCUGUUAGAGGGGAAGAAUAGUACCGGUUGGACCGGUAUAUGACUGUACCCUCAGAGAAAGCCCCGGCUAACUACGUGCCAGCAGCCGCGGUAAUACGUAGGGGGCAAGCGUUGUCCGGAUUUACUGGGUGUAAAGGGCGCGCAGGCGGGAUAAAAAGUCAGUGGUGAAAUCCUACAGCUUAACUGUAGAACUGCCUUUGAUACUUUUAUUCUUGAGUUCGGGAGAGAGAGACGGAAUUCCAGGUGUAGUGGUGAAAUACGUAGAUAUCUGGAAGAACACCAGUUGCGAAGGCGGUCUCUUGGUCCGACACUGACGCUGAGGCGCGAAAGCGUGGGGAGCAAACA